rnacentral:rRNA from 1 species
AUACGGGGUGCAGCAGGCGCGAAACCUCCGCAAUGCACGCAAGUGCGACGGGGGAACCCCAAGUGCCACUCUUAACGGGGUGGCUUUUCAGAAGUGUAAAAAGCUUCUGGAAUAAGGGCUGGGCAAGACCGGUGCCAGCCGCCGCGGUAACACCGGCAGCUCAAGUGGUAGCCGCUUUUAUUGGGCCUAAAGCGUCCGUAGCCGGUCUGAUAAGUCUCUGGUGAAAUCCCACAGCUUAACUGUGGGAAUUGCUGGAGAUACUAUCAUGACUCGAGGUCGGGAGAGGCUGGAGGUACUCCCAGGGUAAGGGUGAAAUCCUGUAAUCCUGGGAGGACCACCUGUGGCGAAGGCGUCCAGCUGGAACGAACCUGACGGUGAGGGACGAAAGCCAGGGGCGCGAACCGGAUUAGAUACCCGGGUAGUCCUGGCCGUAAACGAUGUGGACUUGGUGUUGGGAUGGCUUCGAGCCGCCCCAGUGCCGAAGGGAAGCUGUUAAGUCCACCGCCUGGGAAGUACGGCCGCAAGGCUGAAACUUAAAGGAAUUGGCGGGGGAGCCACAGAA